GAAAGAUUCAUCGGAAGAGGAUGGGCAUGCGGCGCAUUAGCUUGACGGCGGGGUAACGGCCCACCGUGGCGACGAUGCGUAGGGGUUCUGAGAGGAAGGUCCCCCACACUGGUACUGAGACACGGACCAGACUCCUACGGGAGGCAGCAGUGAGGAAUAUUGGUCAAUGGGAGAGAUCCUGAACCAGCCAAGCCGCGUGAGGGAAGACGGCCCUAUGGGUUGUAAACCUCUUUUGUCGGAGAACAAAACCCGGGACGUGUCCCGGACUGCGUGUAUCCGAAGAAAAAGCAUCGGCUAACUCCGUGCCAGCAGCCGCGGUAAUACGGAGGAUGCGAGCGUUAUCCGGAUUUAUUGGGUUUAAAGGGUGCGUAGGCGGUCCGUUAAGUCAGCGGUAAAAUUGCGGGGCUCAACCCCGUCGAGCCGUUGAAACUGGCAGACUUGAGUUGGCGAGAAGUACGCGGAAUGCGCGGUGUAGCGGUGAAAUGCAUAGAUAUCGCGCAGAACUCCGAUUGCGAAGGCAGCGUACCGGCGCCAGACUGACGCUGAGGCACGAAAGCGUGGGGAUCGGACAGGAUUAGAUACCCUGGUAGUCCACGCAGUAAACGAUGAAUGCUGGUUGUCCGGGUCGAAUGAGACCUGG
rnacentral:rRNA from 1 species